AAUCUGGCCUCCCGGGGUCCGAGUUGUAAUUUGUAGAGGAUGUUUUGGGUACCGCCCCGGUCUAAAUUUCUUGGAACAGAAUGUCAAAGAGGGUGAGAAUCCCGUCUUGGACCGGCGGUAGGGCCUGUGUAAAACUCCUUCGACGAGUCGAGUUGUUUGGGAAUGCAGCUCAAAAUGGGUGGUAAAUUUCAUCUAAAGCUAAAUAUUGGCCAGAGACCGAUAGCGCACAAGUAGAGUGAUCGAAAGAUGAAAAGAACUUUGAAAAGAGAGUUAAACAGUAUGUGAAAUUGUUGAAAGGGAAGCGCUUGCAACCAGACUUGAGCGCGACGGUUCCCCUAGCCUUUUGGCUAGGUUACUCCGUCGUGUCCAGGCCAACAUCGGUUCUGAGGGUCGGUCAAAGGCUCUGGGAAUGUAUCUACCCACGGGUAGACUUAUAGACCAGGGUGUCAUGCGGCCUCUCGGGACCGAGGAACGCGCUUCGGCUCGGAUGUUGGCGUAAUGGUUGUCAGCGACCCG
rnacentral:rRNA from 1 species